AUUGAACGCUGGCGGCAGGCCUAACACAUGCAAGUCGAACGGAAACAGGAAGCAGCUUGUUGCUUUGCUUUCGCGUGGCGGACGGGUGUGUAAUGUCUGGGACCUUGCUCUAUGGAGGGGGAUAACUCCUGGAAACGGUAGUUAUUACCGCAUAUCUUUUCAACACCAUAGAGCGGGACUUUAGGGCCUUCUUGCAUUCGAUUUUCCCAGAUUGGAUUAGCUAGUAGGUGGGGUAACGGCUCACCUAGGCCACGAGCCAUAGCUGGUCUGAGAGGUUGACCAGCCACACUGGAACUGAGACACGGUCCAGACUCCUACGGGAGGCAGCAGUGGGGAAUAUUGCGCAAUGGGCGAAAGCCUGAUGCAGCAAUGCCGCGUGUAUGAAGAAGGCCUUCGGGUUGUAAAGUACUUUCAGCAGGGAAGAAGAGAGUAGAAUUAAUACGUGUACACAUUGACGUUACCCGAAGAAGAAGCACCGGCUAACUACGUG
rnacentral:rRNA from 1 species